AGAGUUUGAUUAUGGCUCAGGAUGAACGCUAGCUACAGGCUUAACACAUGCAAGUCGAGGGUAACGUGAGAGAAGCUUGCUUCUCUGACGACGACCGGCGAAUGGGUGAGUAACGCGUAUCCAACCUGCCGCACGCCCGGGAACAGCCCUUGGAAACGAGGAUUAAAUCCCGAUACCUUAUCGUUCCGCAUGGAGUGAUAAGAAAACAGGCAUGCGAUGGGGAUGCGUCUGAUUAGCUUGUUGGCGGGUAACGGCCACCAAGGCGACGAUCAGUAGGGGUUCUGAGAGGAAGGUCCCCCACAUUGGAACUGAGACACGGUCCAAACUCCUACGGGAGGCAGCAGUGAGGAAUAUUGGUCAAUGGGCGAGAGCCUGAACCAGCCCAAGUAGCGUGAAGGAUGACUGCCCUACGGGUUGUAAACUUCUUUUGUCCAGGAAUAAAAAUCCCUCGUGAGGGGUCUUGCAGGUACUGGUUGAAUAAGGACCGGCUAAUUCCGUGCCAGCCGCCGC
rnacentral:rRNA from 1 species